AUGAACACCAAUACGAACUCUCAUUGGGAACUACAAAAUCGUCUUCUUCUUCACCUCUUUACUCAUCCUUUAAAAGAGACUACGUUGAUUCAGUCUAUCAGAGCGUUAUCCCCUUUAUUCAUUGGUUUAUGGAACAUAACCCUUUCUUUCUUUAAGCCCUAAUUAGGGUUAAAAACCAGGUCUUUUGUGGCCAUGCUUAGCUGCUUUCUGAAUUGGUAACAUCUUAUUGUUUCCGCGAAUACUUGGUAAUUCUUCAUUCUUCUUCAACACCACCUUGGCAGCUUCCACCUUUCCAGAUGCAGCACCAACAACAAAAGCAAUAUCCCCAUCAAAAUUUUCUGAUAAACAUAGAGAAAGUAACCUGCCGUAGCUGCAAUAUGGAGAGCGGUGUCGUCCUUGUCUGAUAUCUUAGCCAUUUAAUAACUUCAAAUUUUCUCUAAAUCUGUACCUCUGAAAUAUUCCGUUAAGGAAGCUUUCCCACAGUUUCCAAAAACCAGUGAGAAGGCAGAGGAGAAGAAGCCAGGAGGUGGAGAAUGCUCUGUACCAAAAGAGUUAGGAUAUCAGACAACAACGACGCCGCUCACCACAUCGCAGCUGCGGCAAGUUCCUCUAUGUUUGUCAGGAACUGGUAAAAUAUAUGGCGAGAGAACAAUUGGCUAGUAAAAAUUUUGAUGGGGAUACUUCUUUUGUUCUUGCUGCUGCAUCCCCAAGGGUGGAAGCAGUCAUGGCAAGGUUGAAGAAGAAUGAUGAGUUACAUAGUAUUCGAGGAAAUGAUAAAGGGAUGCUACCAAUUCACAUUGCAGCUCAGCGUGGCCACAAAGACAUGGUAUAGUAUCAGUUUACCUACACAGUAUCAGAGAUUUCAGAUAUUCAUAUUGUACUUUGAAGUCAUAUAAAUGUGAAGAAUUCAUAAUAAAAGUUAAAUUUCAUUCUCUUAGUA